rnacentral:rRNA from 1 species
GAUGAACGCUGGCGGCGUGCCUAAUACAUGCAAGUCGAGCGAACAGACGAGGAGCUUGCUCCUCUGACGUUAGCGACGGACGGGUGAGUAACACGUGGAUAACCUACCUAUAAUACUGUGAUAACUUCGGGCAACCGGAGCUACUACCGGAUAAUAUCUUCAACCGCAUGGUUCAAUAGUGAAAGACGGUUUUGCUGUCACUUAUAGAUGGAUCCGGGCCGCAUUAGCUAGUUGGUAAGGUCACGGCUUACCAAGGCAACGAUUCGUAGCCGACGGGUGAGGGUGAUCGGCGGCACUAGAACGUGGCCGCGGACAAUGGGCCUGAGAGAGGCAGCAGAAGGGAAUGUGACGCAGUAGGCGGAAACAUGGCAGAGCGACGCGGCGUGAGUGAUAAAAGUCUUCGGUUCGUGAAGAUGGGUUAUUAGGGAAAAACAAAUGUGUAAUGAAAUAAACACGUCUUGACGGUACCUGGUCAGAAAGCCACGGCUAACUACGUG